UCGUAAUUAUUCAUUUAUGAUGGAAACUGUACUCCAGCUGCUGUAUAUAUACUGCAUCCAUUUCCUAUCCAGAUCAGUUCAUUCUACGACGAGAACGGUUGAAGAUUUAAUAAUGAAAUAUUUUCUGGUGUUCGCUUGUGUUAUCUUCUGUUUGGGAAGUGCCUAUGGUUCACCUGUUUCCAAGCCUGAUCCAACAUUCGGACUUUUCGCUGGUCUAGCACAGCUACAAGCGGCAGCUGCAGCUGCAGGCAAUGCACCUCUGUAUAGUAAUAUGUAUAGCGGUUAUGGCAGCGGUGUUAUAAAUUCGAACUCAUUCGAUUAUGUUCAUAAUAUAGUAAUUCGAAAAUAAAUAUUUUGCUGCCAGAA